UGAGGCCAGGCUUUCCUAGUGAUAUGAACUCAAGCUUUCUUUUGCCAAGCAGUCUUACCACUCCUCUAAUCCUCUUCCACCAACCCUGACCCCCUUUUUUUUUUGCAGGAGCCUGGAAUCACCCCAGUUUGCAGCCCCCUGCCAACUACUGCUGCCCAGAAUGGUGGCAGAGUGCCUGGUCUUCAGACAGGAGCUAUCAAAUCAUAGAACCAGAGGGACAUCUGGAGGUCACCUCAUUGAGCCCUCUGCCGGCAUCCAGUCCUGCUCAUGAAGACAGCGACAGACAAGAUCUGACCUUCUAGACAUGCACAAUGAAAACUGGCGGGGAUCAGAAGACCUAUGACCUAGUCCUGGAUUCUCCAAAAAGACUGUUCGCUCUGGGGUCCGGACAGCCGAGGUAGCACGGCGGAGAAAGGACGCGCUGCAGCUUUAAGAUUUCUCCCGGGCGUCCGGUUGCCAAGGCGCGG